AUUGAACGCUGGCGGCAGGCCUAACACAUGCAAGUCGAGCGGAUGAAGGGAGCUUGCUCCUGGAUUCAGCGGCGGACGGGUGAGUAAUGCCUAGGAAUCUGCCUGGUAGUGGGGGAUAACGUCCGGAAACGGGCGCUAAUACCGCAUACGUCCUGAGGGAGAAAGUGGGGGAUCUUCGGACCUCACGCUAUCAGAUGAGCCUAGGUCGGAUUAGCUAGUUGGUGGGGUAAAGGCCUACCAAGGCGACGAUCCGUAACUGGUCUGAGAGGAUGAUCAGUCACACUGGAACUUGGACACGGUCCAGACUCCUACGGGAGGCACCAGUGGGGAAUAUUGGACAAUGGGCGAAAGCCUUAUCCAGCCAUGCCGCGUGUGUGAAGAAGGUCCUCGGAUUGUAAAGCACGUUAAGUUGGGAGGAAGGGCAGUAAGUUAAUACCUUGCUGUUUUGACGUUACCAACAGAAUAAGCACCGGCUAACUUCGUG
rnacentral:rRNA from 1 species